UACCAGCUCUCCGAGUGGUAGGGAUGAUUAUUGGGCUUAAAGCGUCCGUAGCUGGCUUAGCAAGUCUUCUGUUAAAUUCAGCGACCUAAUCGUUGAGCCGCGGGAGAUACUACUAGGCUGGGAGGCGGGAGAGGUCGACGGUACUUUCGGGGUAGGGGUGAAAUCCUAUAAUCCCGGGAGGACCACCAGUGGCGAAGGCUGUCGACUAGAACGGGCUCGACGGAGAGGGACGAAAGCUGGGGGAGCGAACCGGAUUAGAUACCCGGGUAGUCCCAGCUGUAAACUAUGCGGGCUAGGUGUUGGGGUGGCUACGGGCCACUUCAGUGCCGCAGGGAAGCCAUUAAGCCCGCCGCCUGGGGAGUACGGCCGCAAGGCUGAAACUUAAGGAAUUGGCGGGGAGCACCACAAGGCGUGAAGCUUGCGGUUC
rnacentral:rRNA from 1 species